ACUCCUGCGGGAGGCAGCAGUGGGGAAUUUUGGACAAUGGGCGAAAGCCUGAUCCAGCAAUGCCGCGUGAGUGAAGAAGGCCUUCGGGUUGUAAAGCUCUUUUGUCAGGGAAGAAACGGUGAAAGCUAAUAUCUUUUGCUAAUGACGGUACCUGAAGAAUAAGCACCGGCUAACUACGUGCCAGCAGCCGCGGUAAUACGUAGGGUGCAAGCGUUAAUCGGAAUUACUGGGCGUAAAGCGUGCGCAGGCGGUUUUGUAAGUCUGAUGUGAAAUCCCCGGGCUCAACCUGGGAAUUGCAUUGGAGACUGCAAGGCUAGAAUCUGGCAGAGGGGGGUAGAAUUCCACGUGUAGCAGUGAAAUGCGUAGAUAUGUGGAGGAACACCGAUGGCGAAGGCAGCCCCCUGGGUCAAGAUUGACGCUCAUGCACGAAAGCGUGGGGAGCAAACAGGAUUAGAUACCCAAGUAGUCCCAUG
rnacentral:rRNA from 1 species